rnacentral:rRNA from 1 species
GGGGUAGUGGCUCACCAAGCGACGACGGGUAGCCGGCCUGAGAGGUGACCGGCCCACUGGGACUGAGACACGGCCCAGACUCCUACGGGAGGCAGCAGUGGGGAAUAUUGCACAAUGGGCGCAAGCCUGAUGCAGCGACGCCGCGUGAGGGAUGACGGCCUUCGGGUUGUAAACCUCUUUCAGCAGGGAAGAAGCGCAAGUGACGGUACCUGCAGAAGAAGCGCCGGCUAACUACGUGCCAGCAGCCGCGGUAAUACGUAGGGCGCGAGCGUUGUCCGGAAUUAUUGGGCGUAAAGAGCUCGUAGGCGGCUUGUCGCGUCGACUGUGAAAACCCGUGGCUCAACUGCGGGCUUGCAGUCGAUACGGGCAGGCUAGAGUUCGGUAGGGGAGACUGGAAUUCCUGGUGUAGCGGUGAAAUGCGCAGAUAUCAGGAGGAGCACCGGUGGCGAAGGCGGGUCUCUGGGCCGAUACUGACGCUGAGGAGCGAAAGCGUGGGGAGCGAACAGGAUUAGAUACCCUGGUAGUCCACGCCGUAAACGGUGGGCACUAG